rnacentral:lncRNA from 1 species
AGAAAAGAUGGUAUGGUUGUUUUCAAGCUUACAAGAAUAUGCUAUUUUUCCUAUACUAAAAGUUUCUAAUUUGUCUUUCUGAAAGCUUGUAGUAUAUAUUUAUUUUGAAACAGAUGCUUGAAUUAGGUAACAAGGUCUCAGUUGUACUUAACGCCUGUAUUUAAUUGAAAAACCACUCCCAAUCUAACAAAGUUGCAAACCAUUGAAGGGUUUUAGUUUGAGUAUGUUUAGUAGAGACUUGUUAGAGGCUAGAAACUGUGUUCAAACAGAAGCAAUGGAUUUCAGAAAUUCAGAGCAUUGGACCAAUACACGUAUAAAAGCAUGAUAGCCUACCAAAUUUGAAUCCAUGGUUUCUAUCAAGGAUCAGGUAUCAUCUAUUAUCAGCAGCUGAUGUCAGUAUCAGAAAGCUCCUGUUGGAAGGGAAUAUGAAGGGAAAGCAGCCAGCACUUCUGGAGGCUGUGCCUUGCCUUCUGCAGAAGUAAACAACAACAAAAAUUUUCCAUUUGGUUGCUCUCCAGGCUUUUCAGAAGGUGGAAUCAGGCACCCAAACCAAUCUACCAUGGUACAAAUAUCAUCUCCUGGACAUUCUUGUUUCUUUUCACCAGCUGGGGAGGCUGAAUUGCAAAUUGAUGCUUGUACUUUUUUUUAGCUAGACGACACAUUGGUCUUAUGAUGCUGAUUAAAUGUGUUACCCCACACAUUCUUUCCGUUUUGGCAGCUGAGCCUUUGGAAUUCCCAAUCACUCUUCAGUCAGGAACCUUGGCAUUGUUUUAAAUUUGGGACUGAGCAAGGGCAGUAUUUAUAACACAUUGUUUGGGA